rnacentral:rRNA from 1 species
GCAAGUCGUACGCAUAUAUUUAUAUAUGAGUGGCGGACGGGUGAGUAAUGCAUAGAAAUCUACCUUACACUGGGGAAUAACUAUUAGAAAUAGUAGCUAAUACCGCAUACGCCAUAUUGGGAAAGCUUCGGCGGUGUAAGAUGAGUCUAUGUCUGAUUAGCUAGUUGGUGGGGUAAAAGCCUACCAAGGCGACGAUCAGUAGCUGGUUUGAGAGGAUGAUC